UGCCUUUUUGUGAUUCUUCGUUACAUUUGUUGUUUUUAUAGUGAUAUUAAGAUGAUAACACAAUAUUGACUGCUGUACCCCUAUUUUUGACAUUUUUACUCUUUGAGUAUGUUUGUUUUGUUCAUACAUCGUUGACAAUGUAAUGGAAUUUGAUGCGACUGUCAUACAAGUGAGAGGUUUAGCUAGCUAUAAAACCAGGUUCAAUCCACCAUUUUCUACAUUAGAAAAUGCCUGUACCAAGUCAGGAAUAUGACAGUUGUUAUCCAUUCGUUUGAUGUGUG
rnacentral:lncRNA from 1 species